GCCCGCCCGCAGGCCAGCUUCUCUCGGGAGCCUCCACCCAGGCGCAUGGCUCCAUGAAGCAAGAGGAGGAGGCAGAGCGCGAGAGAUCCCGUCCGCCCCAGCCGCGUCUGGGCCAGGAGAAAAGCAAAACCAUAUUCCUGCUGCUGUCAGUUUUGAUGCACUGAGAAAACUUCAGAGACCUAAGCUUUUUCCAGAGAAGAGAAGCUUUACUGGUGUUCCAGCCCUAAGGCUCAUAUGACAUUAACAGACAAGACACUUUUCAGAAAGACAGGGCCCUGCUAAGGAGUUUCAAUCUGCUUCAUGGACGUUCAACCUGCCUCUCCCCUUGUCUGGAAUGAUCUUCCUCUGAUGUUCCAUCCACCUUACUUUUUCUGAUCUCUUUAUUCAGUGUAGCUUUCAAUUCACCUCAAGCAACGUGUUGGACCUUCCGGAGCUUCUCAGAAGACAGAGGGUUUUCUUUUGAGACAAAUCAACUCAAUCAAAGAAACCAACUCAAAGAAAGAUGGGUCUACAUACAACAAAACUGAACAAAAUCUGCAAGAAGAGUGAUUCAUACAUGGGCUAUUGAGGCAACAUGAGAUGGACAUUAAUCGACUAAGUAAAAAACAGAUUUCUUGAAGAAUUAAUAAAGAACUUUUGUUUUGGAA
rnacentral:lncRNA from 1 species